CAGUUACGGUUAGCAAGCCUGAGCCAACCUGCCUGUCUGAAUCUCUGACUACCUGAAAACCAGAACCUGAACCUGAUCUGUUUUCUCCCCUCUGCUUCCUAGAUUGAACCUGUCUGAAACCUGAUACCCAGAAGAGUAUCUCUGCCGGUAAUCUGCCUGUCUGUUCUCUGAAGAACCCUGGAAAACUAUUCCUGUCAAAGACCUGCCUGCCCGCUCUCUGAAGAAACCGGAAGGGAAACUCUAAUUGGUAAUCUGCCAACACUCAAACCAAGCUCUGCCUCCGCCUAGCCCUCAGCCUGCCGAUAGCCUCUGGACCCUCUAGGUUCCCCCCUCAGCCGCUCAGCUCAACUCCUGUACAGUGAACCCACUCGUGACCAGUCCUGGACCUGUUAACUCUGUGUGCAUUUCUGAAUCCACUCGUGACCAGACGAGUUCCCCUUGGGAUCUGUUUAUUUAUUGUAUUCCAUCUUCU